rnacentral:tRNA from 1 species
GCCUUUGUAGUGUAGUGGUCAGCAAGCUCGGCGUGUAUUCGAGAGGUCCGGGGUUCUAGUCCCGGCCAGGGCA